GACGAACGCUGGCGGCGUGCUUAACACAUGCAAGUCGAACGGAAAGGCCCUGCUUUUGUGGGGUGCUCGAGUGGCGAACGGGUGAGUAACACGUGAGUAACCUGCCCUUGACUUUGGGAUAACUUCAGGAAACUGGGGCUAAUACCGGAUAGGAGCUCCUGCUGCAUGGUGGGGGUUGGAAAGUUUCGGCGGUUGGGGAUGGACUCGCGGCUUAUCAGCUUGUUGGUGGGGUAGUGGCUUACCAAGGCUUUGACGGGUAGCCGGCCUGAGAGGGUGACCGGCCACAUUGGGACUGAGAUACGGCCCAGACUCCUACGGGAGGCAGCAGUGGGGAAUAUUGCGAAAUGGGCGGAAGCCUGAUGCAGCAACGCCGCGUGCGGGAUGACGGCCUUCGGGUUGUAAACCGCUUUCGCCUGUGACGAAGCGUGAGUGACGGUAAUGGGUAAAGAAGCACCGGCUAACUACGUG
rnacentral:rRNA from 1 species